CGCAUAAUAAAAUACAGUUUGCCUCACAGUCCAAACAGUAACCAUCUUCCAACUGUUGAGGUUAACUUAUCACAUACUGUUGAUUUAAUGUUGAACAUUCACCCAUCUAACGCUUGGUAUUAUAAAAAACGGUUUGUGCAAACCAUAUCAAACUGUGACAGUAUAUUGUACUGUCAAAGUAAUGCUAAAUGAUAUGAGAGUGAAAACUUGAUGCAAAUGGUUUAAACGAAGCAUCACCAUCUGCUAGAAGGUACCAUUGCGUAUUUCCACUUCUUACUUACACACCUUUACUUUACUACAAGUAACUAUUUUUUAACAGUUUGGCAAAUGUUUGCGCGCAUUAGUAUUUGUUGCAGAAAAUGAAACGAUUCUUUUUUGAGUGGCAAAUUGAGUUUGAUUUUUUUGUUUGUUUUUUUUUUGUUGUGGUAGAGCUCACUAAAAAGUGUCCGCGGAAAGAAGCUACCGCCGUUUAAUCAAGUUUUUAUCAGAAUUGUGUUCUGUUUUGUGUAAUACGGUGGCCGUCAGUGAAGGCAUGCGCAACGGAGUCCAGCAGCUGCAAUUCUACGGUGCUGAUAGAAGCAAUCGUAAAAACACCAAAGCAGAUCCAGCUUGGAACCCGACUUGGGAUAACCAAGGGGAUAACCACUAUCUCCGCAGGAGGAUGCCGUUAUUCAAAAGAGCACGAGACGGAGUUCGGGACGGAGACGGGAUAGGAUUUAAACCCAGCAACAUCUUUGACCCGCGGAAUAAAGUUUUGCCGAGUUGAUAAGAUUUGAGUAUUUCAAAUGCCUACAGCUUCGUUGGACAUCAAGAAGCAACAUAAUGGACUAACACUCGGAGCCAAGCCCGGGAAGACGUACAGAGGAAAUACCUCAGCAAUCGUUCCUCCCUUUGGAUGUUGGAAAGCACAAACUGAAGUCGAUCACGUGGAUGCCACCAGUUCCAUUCGCAGACAAACCUUUCAGAGAUGAACCUCUUUCCGGAGUGUUUCGCGUAGUGAUUUAUAUUUGGCAAAAUUUAGAAUACUAAUUUGUUUUCUGUUUAGUUCAAAACCCAAUUUUUUUCACUAUUUUGGCGUAGGUACCUAUAUUUGUUUUAAGGGAAUAUUGGGUUUUGCAGACAUGGACAAUGUUAGUUUGUUUUGUUUUUUUUUUUCGAGAUUAUUAUUACUCAAUUACAAUAGCUAAAUCAUGAAUCUAAAAAUGAUACAGAUUUUGCAUAUUUUGUUAAAUUUACAUUUGCAUUUGGUUUUGAUGUUUACAUAUAUACAUAAAAGCAUGUAAUACAAAAAUAUUCAUAAAUAAUGCUUCUUAAAUUGUA